rnacentral:rRNA from 1 species
GGCAGCGUUACGUAGUGAUGAAUGCAGAAUCCAGUGAAUCAUCGAAUCUUUGAACGCACAUUGCGCCCCUCGGCACUCCGGGGGGCAUGCCUGUGCGAGCGUCAUAG